UCCGUAGGUGGCGAGCGUUGUCCGGAAUUACUGGGCGUAAAGGGAGCGUAGGCGGCUCGUUAAGUGAGGUGUGAAAUCCCUGGGCUCAACCCAGGAACUGCACUUCAAACUGGGGAGCUAGAGUGCAGGAGAGGUAAGCGGAAUUCCCGGUGUAGCGGUGAAAUGCGUAGAGAUCAGGAGGAACACCAGUGGCGAAGGCGGCUUUCUGGACUGUAACUGACGCUGAGGUGCGACAGCGUGGGGAGCAAACAGG
rnacentral:rRNA from 1 species